rnacentral:rRNA from 1 species
GAUGAACGCUAGCGGGAGGCCUAACACAUGCAAGCCGAGCGGUAGAGUUUCUUCGGAAACUUGAGAGCGGCGCACGGGUGCGUAACACGUGUGCAACCUACCUUUAUCUGGGGGAUAGCCUUUCGAAAGGAAGAUUAAUACCCCAUAAUAUAAUGAUUGGCAUCAAUUAUUAUUGAAAACUACGGUGGAUAGAGAUGGGCACGCGCAAGAUUAGAUAGUUGGUGAGGUAACGGCUCACCAAGUCAAUGAUCUUUAGGGGUCCUGAGAGGGGGAUCCCCCACACGGGUACUGGGACACGGACCAGACAUCUACGGGAGGCAGCAGUGAGGAAUAUUGGACAAUGGGUGAGAGCCUGAUCCAGCCAUCCCGCGUGAAGGAUGACGGUCCUAUGGAUUGUAAACUUCUGUUGUACAGGGAUAAACCUACCCUCGUGAGGGUAGCUGAAGGUACUGUACGAAUAAGCACCGGCUAACUCCGUG